GUAGAGACGACGCCAGGGCUCAGCAGA
rnacentral:piRNA from 1 species